CAAAAAUUACACUAGAAACAAACCUGUUUUCUCCCCUUGGGCCCCACCGCCCGGUAACCCCAAAUAGAGAGGCCUUAGCUGCCGAGAGAGGAGCGUUCGUACUUUGGUUAGAUUGGAAUUCAGCAUUUGAGGAGAUGUCACUAGUAAUCCUCUCUGAGUCCCGGUGAACCUAAAGGUCUCCUCUGUUCUGAUGGGGCAACACUCAGUCACCAUCUAACACCAAAUGCCAAAGGACAAGAACGAACGAACGCGAGGGGCGGUGGGAGUCCGACCAACCCACCACCAACAGUAGGGCUGUCUUUCUCAAUUUCUGAGGGAGAGUUUCAGGCGCAAAAAAGUUCCCCUCCGGCAGCCUUCACUGACGGCCUCCCGAGUGUGAAGACCCUGGAGGAUGACAGACAGGGCAGAGGCACCCCGGAGAGCACUGUUUUCGCUUUCCAGCUGGGAACGUGCACUAAGUUGUUCUUGAAUACCCACAGCACCCAAAAGGCUGUGCUGUAAUACUCCUCGGCGCACGGAACACCCAUAAAUUACCCUUCGUACUCUUACAACCUCCAACCUGGGACGACUUGGAAAAACCAGCCCAGCAAGCAGGCUCUUCUCAAAUCUCAAUUCACAGGAGAAGAGAAAGUUCAAGCAGAAAACACCUUCCAUGAGAAUUGCAGAGGUUUUUGUUGUUGUUGAAAG